UCCUACGGGAGGCAGCAGUAGGGAAUCUUCCGCAAUGGACGAAAGUCUGACGGAGCAACGCUGCGUGAGUGAAGAAGGUUUUCGGAUCGUAAAACUCUGUUGUCAGAGAAGAACAAGUCGGAGAGUAACUGCUCCGGCCUUGACGGUAUCUGACCAGAAAGCCACGGCUAACUACGUGCCAGCAGCCGCGGUAAUA
rnacentral:rRNA from 1 species